GAACUCUCACCCAAAAACCCUUCCGCUUCGUUCCAGCAACCCUAACCGUCCCUCUCGAUCUCCGGCUGCCAUAACCACGAUGAGCCCCGCCACACCUUCGACGCCGUAGCCGUAUUUUUCCCCAAUGAACAUCCGAUCAACACCAACCAGUAUGUCUCCCUAAAAAAUAUACACGCCCUCCAUCACCAUCUGCAGAUUUAAUGGAAUCAAAUCAUCACCGCCCUUCAUCACCAUCAACAUUCGAUCUUUUUGGAUCUUAUGCAUUUGAAACAAAUCUUUGCCACAGAAAGUGAGCAAUGCGGCUCCGUGGAUCCUAACCGUUGGUGCUAGCACGAUCAAUUUGAGCCGGAUGAUGUUUGGUUUAACGAAGUUUGGGAUUACAAUAGAUUGAGCUUCGACAAUAAUCCGAGUUCAAUAGCACAGCUUGGACUGCGUUUUACACUUAUACCAUCAAAGGUUCGUUGGCAGGCUAGAAACAAGAUUCUUUGGAGUACCUGGGGAUCAUCUUGGACAACACGGUUAUAUUUUUGUUAGCCUUAUGAACCUCCGAUCAAUCAUAAAAUCAAGAAUGGUGUUUUGUUGGUGCGGUAAGCAAGCAAUACUACGAACAUCAUGGACUGACAGAAACCCAGGAAGGAGGUUUUAUGCUUGUCCCAAAGAGGGUUCCAAAUGUAGAUUCAUUGGAUGGCAUGAUCCAGAAAUGUGUCAACGUGCUACUAAAAUUAUACCCGGUUUGCUUAGGUCCAAAAAUCGAGUUGAAAGACAAUUGAAACAAAGAUAUGAGCAAGUGAAAAGAUUGAAGAUAAUGUUGCUGCUUGCUUCGAUUGUAAUUUUGUUUCUUGUAUCAUUGUUAUUGGUGUGAACUAGGAUCUUAGAUGUAGGAAGUGGUAUGUUUAUGGUAAUUUUGUUAUGCAUAAUUUUAUCAAAACAUUGUAAUGCAGAAUGAACUUUAAAGUAUGAAUG